AAUGCUUAGGAAUCUGCCUAUUAGUGGGGGACAACAUUCCGAAAGGAAUGCUAAUACCGCAUACGCCCUACGGGGGAAAGCAGGGGAUCUUCGGACCUUGCGCUAAUAGAUGAGCCUAAGUCAGAUUAGCUAGUUGGUGGGGUAAAGGCCUACCAAGGCGACGAUCUGUAGCGGGUCUGAGAGGAUGAUCCGCCACACUGGGACUGAGACACGGCCCAGACUCCUACGGGAGGCAGCAGUGGGGAAUAUUGGACAAUGGGCGAAAGCCUGAUCCAGCCAUGCCGCGUGUGUGAAGAAGGCCUUUUGGUUGUAAAGCACUUUAAGCGAGGAGGAGGCUACUUGGAUUAAUACUCUAGGAUAGUGGACGUUACUCGCAGAAUAAGCACCGGCUAACUCUGUGCCAGCAGCCGCGGUAAUACAGAGGGUGCGAGCGUUAAUCGGAUUUACUGGGCGUAAAGCGUGCGUAGGCGGCUUCUUAAGUCGGAUGUGAAAUCCCUGAGCUUAACUUAGGAAUUGCAUUCGAUACUGGGAAGCUAGAGUAUGGGAGAGGAUGGUAGAAUUCCAGGUGUAGCGGUGAAAUGCGUAGAGAUCUGGAGG
rnacentral:rRNA from 1 species